GGUUUGUAGCUUAGUGGCAGAGUGCUUGCCUCGCAUGUGUGAGGCCCUGGGUUUGAUCCCCAGCACCA
rnacentral:tRNA from 1 species